GAUGAACGCUAGCGGCAGGCUUAACACAUGCAAGUCGAGGGGUAACAGGAUUUAGUUUACUAGAUUGCUGACGACCGGCGCACGGGUGAGUAACGCGUAUACAAUUUGCCUUUUACUGAAGAAUAGCCCAGAGAAAUUUGGAUUAAUGCUUCAUAGUAUUAUUUGGUCACCUGACCGAGUAAUUAAAGCUCCGGCGGUAAAAGAUGAGUAUGCGUCCUAUUAGCUAGAUGGUAAGGUAACGGCUUACCAUGGCGACGAUAGGUAGGGGUCCUGAGAGGGAGAUCCCCCACACUGGUACUGAGACACGGACCAGACUCCUACGGGAGGCAGCAGUGAGGAAUAUUGGGCAAUGGAGGCAACUCUGACCCAGCCAUGCCGCGUGCAGGAAGACUGCCCUAUGGGUUGUAAACUGCUUUUAUACAGGAAGAAACUUAUCCACGUGUGGAUAACUGACGGUACUGUAAGAAUAAGGACCGGCUAACUCCGUG
rnacentral:rRNA from 1 species